AUUGAACGCUGGCGGCAGGCCUAACACAUGCAAGUCGAACGGUAACAGGAAGAAGCUUGCUUCUUUGCUGACGAGUGGCGGACGGGUGAGUAAUGUCUGGGAAACUGCCUGAUGGAGGGGGAUAACUACUGGAAACGGUAGCUAAUACCGCAUAACGUCGCAAGACCAAAGAGGGGGACCUUCGGGCCUCUUGCCAUCGGAUGUGCCCAGAUGGGAUUAGCUAGUAGGUGGGGUAACGGCUCACCUAGGCGACGAUCCCUAGCUGGUCUGAGAGGAUGACCCGCCACACUGGAACUGGGACACGGUCCAAACUCCUAAGGGAGGCAGCAGUGGGGAAUAUUGGACAAUGGGCGGAAGCCUGAUGCAGCCAAGCCGCGGGGUUGAAGAAGGGCUUCGGGUUGUAAAAUACUUUUCGCGGGGAAGAAGGGAGUAAAGUUAAAACCCUUACUCAUUGACGGUACCCGCAGAAGAAGCACCGGCUAACUCCGUG
rnacentral:rRNA from 1 species